rnacentral:rRNA from 1 species
GUCUAUGGCCAUGCCAUCCUGAACAAGCCCGAUCCCGUCUGAUCUCGAAAACUAAACAGGGUCGGGCCUGGUUAGUACUUGGAUGGGAGACCACCUAGGAAGACCAGGUGCUGUAGGCA